rnacentral:lncRNA from 1 species
GUAAAGUUUAAUCGAAACCUUUAAAGGCUGACACUGAAAUUAAAAAGACAGAUCAUUUUUUAUUUGCAAUGAAUUCUUUCUGUGAUCUGUAAGUAUUUCCGUGUUUGUUUAUAAGGGAAGUUGGAGUGCUGACCCCAGGCAAAGUCCCUUUUCUGUUACUCUGUUCUACCCUUCACUCCUGCUCUGCAUCAUGCAUCCACCAUUUUUUCAAGCAGACAUUGUUUUGGUGCAGUGCUUUGAACAAAACAAGAGCAAACAAAACCCAACAGUGCUGAAUGCUGCACCCUUGCUGCAUGGUGAAAGUAACUUGAGUUUACUGAGUCUCAGAGUUCAGCUUUGCAAUACAUCUUCUCUAACAUGAGGAUUGAUCAGCUUGCUUUCAUAGCCACAUAUAGGGAAACGAAAAUAGAAGUUGCUUGAAUCCUGUUAGCUCUUCUGGCAAGAAGCAGGUAUGGUUUCACCCAGCUCGUAACCUAUUGCUUCCCUCACAGUCCUUGUUAUUCCAGGCCAAAGCUUAAGCUCCAAAUCGGAACUGCAGGGACUUAGAAUGCUCUUCCAAAGGUCAGAUCCUGCAGCCAGGCAAACUAAACCUCCACCUUGGUAGGAUUGCAUCUACACAAAGACUGCAGGGUUUGCAGAAAUGUAGGAAAGCACAAGGCAGCCUCCUACAGCAAAGAAGGCGGUGGGGCAGGGUUCU